CGCAGGUUUGACGGCUGGGCCUUCCUGCCUGAUUCAGCUCUUCCAGGAAUACAACAUUGAAUGAAAAUGGCAAAGACACUGCUUUCUUACUUAACAGUGAGGGAUACAGUCAAUACGUAGCUCCGAAGAGAGAUGGCUCAUUUUCAACCUGCAUGUUUAUAUCAUGCUACUUAAAUGGCCUGUUGAGGCACAAGGGCUGCUGUGAGGCCACAGUGGGAAGAGGAGGAAGUGUUGGGAUGCAUGUGGGAUAGAGUUAAAAGUGGUAAUUUAUUAUGAUUGCUUUCCAUGCUCGCCAUAAUAGACUACUUCUGAGCAAUCAGGAUGUGCUCCUGCAGGACUUGGGGUGGCACAGGUAGGCAUUAUUUAAUUCAUCUGUGUGAGAGUGAGCAACAGAGGGAGAUAAAGUGGGUAUUAAUCAGGAUUGUAUGAGUUCUGGGAUAGCUGCAUCUAAAUCAAUCCACAACAUCGUCUGGGAAAUCAACUCCCUGUUUUCAGCUGGCUUACACUUCUUUUUUUUUUUUUUUUCCUGGUGGGGGGAUAUUAGAAGCUUUUUUUUCCCACUCACUUCUUCCCAGGUUGGUUCAUCUUAAUGAGCCCCAGAAAAUUCAUAUGUCAGAAGGAAUUUGCUCUGACUGGAAUUUCAUUCCACAGUCUCUGAAUAAUGAUGACCUGUACGCAUUACUGGGACAUUAUCUGAUAGCCUGGGGCUCUUCUGAGUUCAUUUCAGGCACUAGCGGGGAUUUCUUAAUAGCUCCUGAGACACAGUAUGUAUGUGGCUAUGCCAGUCCAGAAGUCAAUACAGAUGACAAAGCACACCUUAAAUGGGAGCUAAAACAAAGAACCAGGAAGGAAGUGCCAAGGCUGUUGCUCUGGUCUUAAUAGACAAUAUGGAAGUUAAUUAAUUCAUGAACAUUUCCCUUGAUUUUUGGUUACAUAUUGAGAUUGAAGAGUAAGAAGAGAAAUGCUGUACUUCAAUCCUUAGCCUUGGAUAACAAUUGUGGCCCCUACACGUGGGAACUUUUCUUAUUUCCGUGGGGCAUUAUCUGAUAGCCUGGGACUCUUCUGAAUUCUUAUUAAAAGUUACCUGCCACCACUUUAGGUCAUUCCUACUUGGCAGUGCUUGGUUGUAAGUCUUCAGUCAGACUACCCAAAUGUGCUUGUAUUGUUUUUGAAAGAUCACUGAAAUAAAACAUGACACUAAAUAAUCAUGAAACCUAAAGAUGACCGAAAACAUAUCCAAGGAUUCCCAGGAGUCCAUUAGGAGAGGUACUGAGCUGUAGGAUUCCUCUAAAAUAAAUCCUGGGGUAAGUACGCUACUCCCUGGGAGUCAUUAGGUAGGAUCUCUGGUAGGCAAAUGUGUUCUCUUAGGUCUCCUGAGCACUAUGAGCUGAUGCUCCAGUGCACUUAAUGCAUGCCCUCCUGGUGUCCCCAACAUUUUCCAUCCUCUUUUGCUCCAGGGGAUCCAGAAAAACUAAUAAGCCAUCUUAGGUGGCCUAUGAUACAUAAAACAUAUCAGGGCUAAUCAAAGGGCUGGUAAUUUCUAAGAUAAAUUUACAUUCCAGGAUUCAAAGCUUUGGAAACGUGGUCUCGAAUUAACAAAAAUACAAAGAUUCUGGUAAGACAAAGCACUUAUUUAUCUGAGUAUGAAAACUUCUAAUCAAGGAAAUAGUAAUAAAGCCCAGAUUAUGAUAUUUGGUUGCUAUGUCCUAUAUCCCUCUGUAUUAGUCUGUUCUCAUAUUGCUGUGAAGAAAUACCCAAGACUGGGUAGUUUAAAAAGAAAAGAGGUUUAAUUGACUCACAAUUCCCCAUGGCUGGGGAGGCUUCAGGAAACUUACAAUCAUGGAGAAGGUAUCUCUUCACAGGGCGGCUGGAGAGAGAAUGAGCGCCAAAAGGGAAAAUGCCAGAUGCUUAUAAAACCAUCAGAUCUCAUGGGAACUCACUCACUAUCAUGAGAACAGCAUAGGGGAAACCACCCCCAUAAUUCAAUUACCUCCCCCCGUGUCCUGCCCUUGACAUGUGGGGAUUAUUACAAUUAAGGUAAGCUAUGGGUGGGGACACAGAGCCAAAUCAUAUCACCCUCCCGGGGUCUGAAAGCACCUCUUCUUAUGUGAUUGUUCUUUUUAAUUUGUCUAUCUCUUUUGGCAGGUGUGUUUUUCACAGACAUCAGUAAAGAUGGUUAAGAUGUAUCAGUCAGUAUAUAUUUUUGUAAAUGUGUUUAUUCUGAAAACGUACAUUGUUUUCCCAAUCCAACAUCUCUGGCUUUGUAUAAAUCAAAGUUGACUCGUAUGCUAUUGACUCUGUAGGCUGCUGGAGAUUUCAAUGGACCUGUAAGCCCUGUUGGGUUCAUCUUCCCAUGUUUAAAAAAAGGAGAGAUAAAGAAGGAAACCUGUUUGAUCUCUACCUUACCUGGGGAGAGGAUAAUGAAAAAGAAGUAGAAGUAGAGGGCUACAUUUAAAUUUCAAGAAAUGUAAGCAAUAGAAAAUAUUAGAUGUGGCUCCAACCCUUGCAGAAUCACUGGUUUCUACCGUGGACAGGCUAGGGAAAGAGAUAAAAAUGGUUUACCCAGUUGCUUUCACAGGUCUGCUUUCCUGGGCACUCUUUCUCUGGGGAUUCAAAUGCUUUGUCACAUACGGAGGUGCAAGUGCCAUCCUGGUUGUGUGUUGAGGCAGAAUUAGUCAUACUCCUUGUCCGGUGGCCCUGGUCUCAACUAGUCAGGCUGGAUUCAGACCCAGGGGAAGUUGCACAGAGCACACUUGAGGGUAAACAUGGGAGGCUGCGGGAAGGAGAGCUCCGUCAAUGUCAGACGGCGUCAACCUAAAAACCCACUGGACUAAAAUAAAGCAUGAAAGCUGGAGCUGAUUUUCUUCCUUCGGGCAUUAUUGCUGUCCACCCAAUUCUGAGCUGUCACUGUAUCUGCUGAGUGCAUUUCCAUUCCCUACUGUGUGGGGUGCUGGCUCAUUCUGGUUGCAAGUCCAUUUUAAAGACAGGCCUUUGCACGACUCUAUGUUUCUUGGCUAAUUAAUAAUAUUAAAAACAUUAAUAAGAAAAAAUAAUAAUGCUUUUGGACACAUCACACAGCAGGACAUUAACAAGAGGAAGGCUUCAUCAGCUGAGUUUUUAUUUUCAUAACAUCCAUGAAUA
rnacentral:lncRNA from 10 species